rnacentral:rRNA from 1 species
UGGGGAAUAUUGGGCAAUGGGGGAAACCCUGACCCAGCAACGCCGCGUGAAGGACGAAGGCUUUCGGGUUGUAAACUUCUUUGACCGGGGACGAACGCAAUGACGGUACCCGGAAAACAAGCCACGGCUAACUACGUGCCAGCAGCCGCGGUAAUACGUAGGUGGCGAGCGUUGUCCGGAAUUACUGGGUGUAAAGGGCGUGCAGGCGGGUCGGCAAGUCAGGUGUGAAAUACUCGGGCUCAACCCGGGGGGGUCAUCUGAAACUGCCGAUCUUGAGUGCUGGAGAGGAUAGUGGAAUUCCCAGUGUAGCGGUAAAAUGCGUAGAGAUUGGGAGGAACACCAGUGGCGAAGGCGGCUAUCUGGACAGCAACUGACGCUGAGGCGCGAAAGCGUGGGGAGCGAACAGG